GCUGAGCUGGCUCAGUGGAAGAAGCAGCGAGGCGGCCAGACAGAGGUGAGUAGGCAUGAGACUCUAAAUUUCAGGAUCAUGGGUUCGAGCCCCACGUUGGGCC